UGUAACAAGGUCUCCGUAGGUGAACCUGCGGAGGGAUCAUUACACAAUAUGAAAGCGGGCUGGAAUCCUUUGGGGUUACAGCCUUGCUGAAUUAUUCACCCGUGUCUUUUGCGUACUUCUUGUUUCCUUGGUGGGUUCGCCCACCAUAGGACAAACCAUUAAACCUUUUGUAAUUGCAAUCAGCGUCAGUAAAAAAAUUAAUAAUUACAACUUUUAACAACGGAUCUCUUGGUUCUGGCAUCGAUGAAGAACGCAGCGAAAUGCGAUAAGUAGUGUGAAUUGCAGAAUUCAGUGAAUCAUCGAAUCUUUGAACGCACAUUGCGCCCUUUGGUAUUCCAAAGGGCAUGCCUGUUCGAGCGUCAUUUGUACCCUCAAGCUUUGCUUGGUGUUGGGCGUCUUGUCUCCAGUUCGCUGGAGACUCGCCUUAAAGUAAUUGGCAGCCGGCCUACUGGUUUCGGAGCGCAGCACAAGUCGCGCUCUCUUCCAGCGAAGGUCAGCAUCCUACUAAAGCUCU
rnacentral:rRNA from 1 species